CCUACGGGGGGCUGCAGUGGGGAAUUUUGGACAAUGGGCGCAAGCCUGAUCCAGCCAUGCCGCGUGAGUGAAGAAGGCCUUCGGGUUGUAAAGCUCUUUCGCAAGGGAAGAAAACUUACCUUUUAAUAGAGGGUGAGGUUGACGGUACCUUGAUAAGAAGCACCGGCUAACUACGUGCCAGCAGCCGCGGUAAUACGUAGGGUGCGAGCGUUAAUCGGAAUUACUGGGCGUAAAGCGUGCGCAGGCGGUUUUGUAAGUCAGAUGUGAAAGCCCCGGGCUCAACCUGGGAACUGCGUUUGAAACUACAAGGCUAGAGUAUGGGAGAGGGGGGUAGAAUUCCACGUGUAGCAGUGAAAUGCGUAGAGAUGUGGAGGAAUACCAAUGGCGAAGGCAGCCCCCUGGCCUAAUACUGACGCUCAUGCACGAAAGCGUGGGGAGCAAACAGGCUUAGAUACCCCGGUAGUC
rnacentral:rRNA from 1 species